rnacentral:rRNA from 1 species
UUGGAGGGCAAGUCUGGUGCCAGCAGCCGCGGUAAUUCCAGCUCCAAUAGCGUAUAUUAAAGUUGUUGCAGUUAAAAAGCUCGUAGUUGAAUUUCGGAAUCCAUCCGUCGGUCGGGCCUCACGGUCCGCACUGGUGUGAUGGAUUUCUACCUUCUGAAUAACCAGCAUGUCAUUAAUUUGGUGCGUUGGGGAAGCAGGACUGUUACCUUGAAAAAAUUAGGGUGCUUAAAGCAGGCUAGUGCCUGAAUACAUUAGCAUGGAAUAAUGAAAUAGGACGGCAUGGUUCUAUUUUGUUGGUUUCUAGGAUCACCGUAAUGAUUAAUAGGGAUAGUUGGGGGCAUUAGUAUUCAAUUGUCAGAGGUGAAAUUCUUGGAUUUAUUGAAGACUAACUUCUGCGAAAGCAUUUGCCAAGGAUGUUUUCAUUAAUCAAGAACGAAAGUUAGGGGAUCGAAGACGAUCAGAUACCGUCGUAGUCUUAACCAUAAACUAUGCCGACUAGGGAUCGGACGAUGUUAAUUUUUUAAUGACUCGUUCGGCGCCUUACGGGAAAC